rnacentral:misc_RNA from 1 species
AUGGAUAUUAGGUCGAAUAUUUGGAGAAGUGUUUGCACUGGCAUUUCAGUGUGUUAUGGAAGUUUAUUUUAUGGUUGCUUGGUUAACAUUUUACUUGGCUGCAAGGUAUAAUGAUGCAUCCUCAGUUGGGAGGACAUUUGGACGAAGAGAAUUGGAAGGCUUUCUCGAGGGCGUUAGAUGAUACUAGGUGUGAAUUCGCUAAAGAUUCAUUCCCCUGCCUUGGCAUUACGUUGAAAGAAGCUUAAACUGGAUGAACUAUCGCGCUGGUGGGGUAAUCUUUUUGUGCUUUUGAUGUUCAAUGCUUCAAAAUUGUGAGUUAGCACGACACUGUUUAAGAAGUCACCAGCUAUGCUUUGUAUGUACUCUGUUCUGAGGCAAUAUAUGACUUGUAUAUUUCAUGGGAAUUCUUGUUGGCUAUUUCAUAUCCAUUUCGGAGUAUACGCUUUACCAUACAAGUCUUUCAUGGUGAUGAAACCUGAAAACUAGUUGUAAUUGUUGU